GGUCGACAGGUCUUCCUGGUUGCUGCCGCCGCAGAGAGCCCUUGGGCAGCACCCCGCGAGCAAACUUGAGACUCGAGACCACAGGGAGCAGAACAUUGAACCGAAUUAUCUCUUUGACACUGAUAAACAUAUUGCUGGACAUAGUAAAAAGGAGAAACAAAGAACACUGUCAAACAGGAUAAUUUCCUCAUUGAUUUGACGACAGUUGAAUCGUAAUAGUGGCAGCUUGGAGAUGUGUCCUCUAACAAGAUGGAGAUUUAAGUUUCAUAGCAGGAGGAAGGUUUUUAUAUUUUGCAUGUUGUUGAGAAAACUGUGCUAUGAACUGCUUUUGUAAGUAAAGAAAGGUAGGUAGAAAAGUUCCUUUCCAAAUUAUGUGAAAAUUAUUAGCACAUACUCCUUCCCUAAGGCAAGAUGAGGAUGACUUCAUAUUUAUCCUACCUUGUCCCAGAAAGGAUUAAGACAUAGUGACCUUUAAAUGGUGUUUUGGUAUUAGCUACUGGAAACGUGUUUUCCAUCAGUAUUGCCAAUGUUCCUCUUUUUAACUAGUACCCAGAGUCUUUGGAGUUAUGUGAACUGAGAGCUUCUAAAAAUGGACACCAGAACUCCCAGUUAUAGUGGGGAGGGGAGUAUGUAGAGCAGAUGGUACUUAUAACAGGAGUCAUUUCAAUGUGAAGCUCGUGCUUUUGGGUCUUAGAUAACACUUCUAAUACCUUUGGGUUGGUAAUUCACAUCUGAACUGAAGGAAAUACCAAAUGGACUUAAAAUUUCUGAAUCAGUCUUUUGAAAUGGAGCAUGUAGAUGGAAUGACAUAUUCAAAGACAUCACAUGUGCUCAUGGCUAGACAAAGUGUUUCUUCUGGCAUAUCUGUCAAAACCUGUUUAUUAUGCUAAUACUGUUUUGUUAAAGGUGAAUCACACAAGCGUUCUGGGCAAUUUACUAGAAGUGAAAUUUAAACUUAACAUGAUUCAUGCCAUAAUAUUUCACCUAGAAAUUUUAUAUUCUUUUGACUGCUUCUUUAACCUAAAGAUUAAGAGGUCAUUUUUAUCUAUCUGAACAGUUCAAUAUAUUUAUAGAAAAAAAAGUAAUAGUGUCAUUAGAAUAAUGAGUUAUCUAAAAAGCAAGCCAGAUAGCAAGAGACAUUUAAACAAUUCAUAAAAUAUAAAAAUGUCUGAAAUAAGUGAGUUGCAGCCAAUAAGAACUGAGAAAAGUGAGAAUUAUCAUGUAGAUGGUUCUAAGCUUUGAAGCACCUCUGCGUAUGUGGUAAUUUAGUUGCUUAAGGUUGGAAUAUGGGAAAGGAGAAACCUGUAAAAGCGUCCUUAAAGGGUGACAACACUAAAGGGCUCAGAGACAGUCUUCAAACAAGAAGAUAAGGGGACAAUUUUGAAAACACUAUGAAUCGUAAGGCAAGUUACACAUAUUUUUAAAAGCAGAAUUGCGUGUUCAGAGGGACCCAAUUUUACUCAGUUAAAAGGAUGUUCAAGGGAAGCCACUGUAACUUCAUGUCGGUAGAUUGGACUAAUCGAGAAUCAAGGAGGGUAACAAGGGUCUUGUGGGUGGCAGAAUGAUGACGAUGGAAUGGAAGGUAGUAAUAACUCAGGUGAGGACAGAGACCCAAGAAGGAAGAACACAUGACCUACAGAGCAUUACCAACGCUUGAGGACAAAGAAGGUAUCUGAAGGAAGAUUUGACUGUGUGUCUUUCAUCAUGUUACUUAAGGUAACGGUGUCAUUUCUGGUAUAUUAAUGAUUAUCUCAUGCUCUGAACUCAGGAUGGCAAACGAUGGCAACAGUAAGAGCCACCUUACUUAUGUACGCACCCCCCCCCGUCUCCAUUCUCUCUCUCUCUCUCUCUCUCUCUCUCUCUCUCUCUCUCUCUCUCUCUCUCUCUCUCUCUCUCAGACAGGGUCAAAUCUGCUCUACAAUGCCUGGCUUUACACCUUCCUGAGAAUCAUAUCCAGAGUCCUUGGGUUGAAUUCUGAUUUCCAACUCACAGACUACGUGCGUCAAGAAAGGUGAGGUGUUGCUGUGAGCUUGUGAGAGACCUGCAGGCAUAUCGGAUAUCAGCUCACUGAAAAGUAUCUGCCUGGGUGCUUGCUGAGGUGAACGGUUGUGUUGGGAGGUGGCCCUGGUGCAAACAGGGACGUUAGAGUCUAGUGAGAGGCUCUGGGAAGACGGGUUACACAUAGUUCAUAGUCAUUUCUCAUGUGUGAAAUGAAGGAAUCCAAACUUAUCUUGCAGUCAACAUUUCUAAGAGUUCUAGUCUUCCCUCCCCCACCUUUAUUCUCACCCUCACAGUUGGGCUGAUUCAGUCUCACCAUCUCUUGUUUGCUGUCGUGUUGAUUUAAGUUGCUUAAUUUCAUCGCCCUGUACAGCCAUCGUUCAACCACGCACCUUAUUUCUAAACUGCUCCUUUCCUUUCUCAAGUGACCCCGUUCUUCUUUCUAUGAUGGCCCUUGUACAUUACUAUCCUGAGGGAAAAGGAGCUGAAUGAACAGGGAGGGAGCAGACGCCUUACUUUACUGUGGUAUUGUGAGGGAAUUCAAAGUUGUUCUUGAAAAAGAAAGGCCAGGUGGCACUUUAAAAAGGAAGCCACCUUAUUUUUUUCUUUAAAUAUUACACAAACUACCCCAAUAUUUUGUGGACAGAUACCAAAAAGAAUAGAGGAAAUCAUUUUAAGGUAGAUAUUGAAAGUUCAAAUGAUUCUUGUCUAAAACUUUACAAUGAACUAGAACCAUUUCUAUAAUUCAGAAUUAAAAUAUAGGAGAAACAAUCAGAUUUUUUUUAGUGUUUUGAUUGAAACAUGUUCUGAUACCCAAGUGAUAGAGAGAAUGUAUAUUCCUGUAAGUAUCAGACAUGCUUCUCUGGAAAUCAGGAUCACGUAGCAAAGAAUCUGAGUUUGGUUGCGUUAUCUGGCUCCUUAGCUGAGCUGUCUAGUGACUGAACUUCUUAUGCACACCUUUGUCUGUCUAGGAGAGAAGGACUGCAGUGACUUCUAUUCAGCAACAACCAUUACAAUCCCUUCCAUUGCACUGACUAGAUCUUCUUCAAUUCUACAUACCCAUGUCGUCUGGCUCUGUGGUUCACAGAGAGGCACAAUGAAGCUUGCUUGCUUUCUCUCUCUCUCUUUCUUUCUCUUUCUUUCUUCCUUUUCCUUUCCCUUUCUUUCUUUCUUUCUUUCUUUCUUUCUUUCUUUCUUUCUUUCUUUCUUGCCUUCCAAAUUCUUGCUUCAGAAGACAUUAUAUUAGGUUUACAUGAGAUUAAAAUGCUACUUUGUUUUUCUCUGAAUAUAAGAUGUUUAUGCUUAACCAGUUUUAAUUGUCUUACUCUAUAGUGUCAGCUGGGCUAUAUUUGCUGAGCUCACUAUUUAUAAUGCCUAUGAAAUCUUUGAUUUGAUAAUAUGUUUAUCUAGUGUAUACCUUAAACCAGCUCCACAAGAUUUGUUUAUAAUAUUUAGAAAUUAUGAAAAAUAAUAAAAAAUAGGUACACCCUAGGUCUGCAGGUAAUGGAACUCAUUGGUGCAAAUAGUUAAAAUAUCUGUAUGUGCCUAAGAAGUACUGAUGAGGUAAGAAAUUUAAGAGAGGGGUUGAAAGUUCAUAUUUUUGAGACCUAAAAAUUAAACAAAUGGAGUAAAAAACUGGACUAGUUGCAACACAAAGCAUCUCGGGAAUUGUCAUGGGACACACAGUGGCCAAGGAAAAUAGGGAAGGAAGUCGACCGGGCCACAUGCAUAGGACUGAGGGCCAAAGCAGAGAAUGUAGCUCACGUAUUUGACUUUCUCUCUUCCCCAAGGCCGAGACUCAAACAUCUUAGCUCUCACUGGGGAUCUCAUUCGGGGAGCUCAUUUAAACUAUCUGUGGACAGAGGUUAAGAGCACUCGUUACAUUCACAGAGGAUCUGCAUUUGCUUCCCACCCAUAUGGUGGCUCACAUCUGUCUGGAAUUCCAGUUUCAGGGGACCCAACACCUAUUUCUGACCUCUGAAGGCACAAGGCAUGCACACCUAUAAAACAAAAAUAAAAUCACAUGUAAAAUG